UGUGCGGUUGAUGUUGUUGUU
rnacentral:siRNA from 1 species